GGGCCUGUGGCGGAAUUGGCAGACGCGGCGGACUUAAAAUCCGCUUGGGGGAAACCCCAAUGAGGGUUCGAGUCCCUCCGGGCCCA
rnacentral:tRNA from 1 species